GGUUUAUAGGCUUUAUUUUUUAUUUAUUAAUCGGUUAUUGUGCCUUUUGCAUCAUGCUUGAAUGAUAUGAUUGAGUAAUUUUCUAUGAUCGAAAUGUAUAGAUCUUUGAUGUUAUUUAACUAUCUGGGUAAGAUUAGGGUUUUGUUGGAAAUUGCGUCAGUGUUGUGAUAAAUUAUUCGGUAUACAUUAUAACUAUUUAACAGCUUUGAUUUUAUAUUAUCUUAGUGGCUAAGAGGUUAUUAAGAGUUAUAUAUUUUAAUUGAUAGUUUUUUAAAUAGGGUUAAAAUUACCCCCUUAUAGAAUAAGUGUUAAAAUUUUUUGUAUCUUUUUUUAAAUAAGUAAUAUUUAGUAGUUUUCAUUGUUUCUCAAUCUUUGCCCGUCUGUUUAUUAAAAACAUUUCUAUAUUUUAUUUUUUAUAGUAGUGCCUGCUCUAUGUGUUUAUAAAUGGCCGCAGUAUCUUGACUGUGCGAAGGUAGCAUAAUUAAUUGCCUUAUAAUUGAGGGCUUGUUUGAAUGGUUUGACGAGGUAGCAGUUAACAUUGAAGUUUUUGUUGAAAUUAGUGUGGAGGGCACAGAAACCUCCUUUUUUUAAUUAGACGGAAAGACCCCGGGAUCUUUAUAUUUUGUCUGGGGCAGAUUUAAAUUUUUUAUUAUUAUUAAGACCCUAAUGGUUUAUUGGUGUAAGUUACCCCGGGGAUAACAGUAUAAUAAUUUAAUAGAGAUCAUAUCGAUUAAGUUGUUUGUCACCUCGAUGUUGACUUAGGUUUAAGGUUAUGGCGCAGUAGUUUUAACCGUUGGUCUGUUCGACCGUUAAUUCCUCCAUGAGUUGAGUUAAGACCGGCGUGAGCCAGGUCGGUUCUUAUCUAUUUUUCUGAUGUAUUAGUACGAAAGGAUUGUACAUUGUUUUAUU
rnacentral:rRNA from 1 species